CCUACGGGAGGCUGCAGUGGGGAAUAUUGGACAAUGGGCGAAAGCCUGAUCCAGCCAUGCCGCGUGUGUGAAGAAGGCCUUCGGGUUGUAAAGCACUUUCAGUGGGGAAGAAAGCCUUGGGGCUAAUACCCUCGAGGAAGGACAUCACCCACAGAAGAAGCACCGGCUAACUCCGUGCCAGCAGCCGCGGUAAUACGGAGGGUGCGAGCGUUAAUCGGAAUUACUGGGCGUAAAGCGCGCGUAGGCGGUCUGAUAAGCCGGUUGUGAAAGCCCCGGGCUCAACCUGGGAACGGCAUCCGGAACUGUCAGGCUAGAGUGCAGGAGAGGGAGGUAGAAUUCCCGGUGUAGCAGUGAAAUGCGUAGAGAUCGGGAGGAAUACCAGUGGCGAAGGCGGCCUCCUGGACUGACACUGACGCUGAGGUGCGAAAGCGUGGGUAGCAAACAGGAUUAGAUACCCCAGUAGUC
rnacentral:rRNA from 1 species